rnacentral:tRNA from 1 species
GCCUGGGUGGCUCAGUUGGUUGAGCGUCCGACUUCAGCUCAGGUCACUAUCUCCUGGUCUGUGAGUUCGAGCCCCACGUCGGGCU